rnacentral:rRNA from 1 species
UACGAAGGGGGCUAGCGUUGCUCGGAAUUACGGGGCGUAAAGGGUGCGUAGGCGGGUCUUUAAGUCAGGGGGGAAAUCCUGGAGCUCAACUCCAGAACUGCCUUUGAUACUGAGGAUCUUGAGUUCGGGAGAGGUGAGUGGAACUGCGAGUGUAGAGGUGAAAUUCGUAGAUAUUCGCAAGAACACCAGUGGCGAAGGCGGCUCACUGGCCCGAUACUGACGCUGAGGCACGAAAGCGUGGGGAGCAAACAGG